GAAACACCAUUAACAAGCUCCAUUGCUUCUUACACUUAUCUCUUCACAGGACUGUGUAUCAUGUACGUCUACCCUUAGGCAAUUUAAAAUUCUUCUUUUCCAAGCUGUGGAGUAUUUCUGCAAGGUGUCUGACCAGAACAAUGAGACUGGCCAUGUCAUCGGCUAAGAAAUAGUCUCAGGUGACAUCUCUUAAGAACUGCUUGUUUGGGACCUGCUUGAAGAGACUUGUGAUGUUCACCCACUUCCAAGCUUGGAUCCUACCACCUCAUAUAGCAAGAUGUUAUACAACAUGAAGAAACAAUGCCUUGCAACAAGUGCUUGAAGUGAAUUAAUAAUCUGGAUUUCAAGGAGCAGUCCCCACUGAUGUUGAUGUAAAUGCAGCCAUGUCUGGAGCUCUGGACAUGAGGUGCUAUGAAGAAGAAGUUCUCCUCCUUCAGUGGCAGAACAGGGAGCUCUGGGUUGCUGGUUAUUGUGAAACUACACCAUGAAAUACAGUCCUGAUUUAUCUGAGAAGCAACACCCAUCCUAGAGGACAUCAGCUGCUCUGACUGUCAUCUCCACUCCUGCUUAAAUUGGGAACAGAAAAUGCCACCUCUCACAGAAAUGAUGGAAAGUCAGUGACCAGUACUUCAAGUCUUACACAUCUUCAUUAUUGAAAAGGUAACAAAUUACUCCCACAAUGCUGUAUUGUUGCACUCAGUCCUGCACAAAGGCUUCUUUAGAGUC
rnacentral:lncRNA from 1 species